GCACCGUUAGCUCAGUUGGUAGAGCACCUGACUCUUAAUCAGGGUGUCCGGGGUUCGAGCCCCCGACGGUGUACCA
rnacentral:tRNA from 1 species